AUGGCAGCUUCCACCUCGCCGUGCUGCUGGCAGGACCGGCGCCUCGUGGCACCCUGGGCACUCCCACGCAGUGAUCUUUUUCCUCCGGGUGAGACAGCAGGAAGAGAGGUCUUGUCACUGCUGCCGCAGUGUAUCACGGCUGUGCUCUUUGUAGAAGAACUGAGGGUAGGCAGAAGCCAAAGGGCAGCGAUCCCACCCAAGCUCCCUCUGCUCCUGCAGGGCCUGAGAGGACCCCACAGCACAUCAGUGGUGUGCCUGUCCCCAGGUGAGUGCUGCACAGUGUGGAGCAACAACAAGCCACUUGAAGGCGUCGUGGCAAACUGGUGGUUCUCAUCCAUCUCUCUGUGAGCAGAUCGUAAGGCACCAAUUUUAUUUUCCUGCUAAGCUGCUCUACCCCAGGUUGCUGUGGGACUGCGAAGCUCUUGCAUUUAUCAGCAUUAAAUAAGAAGCAAUAAGCUCCUGGCGGCGCCGUGAAGAGCCUUCCCUUCCUGGGUAGUAAAUCUGCAGUAACUCUUACAGCUUUAUUGAGGGUUAUCAAGUGUUUAUUUAAAAGGCAUUUCUGUGCAUUCAACGUUCUUCUAAUUGGGCAGUGAGUGGUAGUGUUCUCUCUGGACACACUAUUAUUGCUGUGGUAAAAUUCUCUGUGUUUAGUCAACAGACUGUCAAUGUUGUUAACUUGCUGGGUGGAGAGAGGAAGUAGGGCCAUAUUGGCAUGUGGUUUCUUUUGCAUGGAGUUGGAACUUUAACUUAAGGAAUCAGCUUCCCCAGAGUGCUUGGAUCAUGUCCUGGGCUGUCUUGAAAAACACUGUGAGAUGUAAAAACCUGUGUAGAGAGGCAUCUUCUCCUUUGAGGAACCCUUAUGUUGUGUCUGCACGAUGUGCAAGCAGCCACACUGGUGUGCAGCACGGCUGAGAUUCAGCCCGGGUCUCUCGUCCUCAAAUAACAAGUGCUGCAGAGGAGCCCUUGCUGAAGCUGGCUCCUGCCGCUUGCUGGACCCGUGAAAUAUGAGCGUGGUCACCUGCUGUGGUAGACAGGGAGGUUAAAGAAGGUCUUUAUGGUCUGAGCUCAACACAGAAACUGUCAAUUAACAGGGUGGUUUGGAAUGGAAUCCCUUUGCAGGGACAUCCAGAAACAUGGAAAGGCAACUGGGAGGGGGUAAGCUUGUAGGUUGGCCUGCUUUAUUUGUGAAAAAAGAGUUUGUUCAUUAUUUGUUCUCCCUCUACUUUUAGUACUGGUUGUUGGGAUGAAUAAGUCAGAAGUAAGGUGGCCAAAAGAGGGAUGGAAAAGAAGUCACCCAAACUUUCCCCGUAAUGGCACAUUACAUUGGACACAAUAAAAGCAGGCUCACAUUUGGGUGAGGUGUGGCC
rnacentral:lncRNA from 1 species